UUUUUGAAUUUAAUUUAAAGUCUAACCUGCCCACUGAAAAUUUAAAUGGCCGCAGUAUUUUAACUGUGCAAAGGUAGCAUAAUCAUUAGUCUUUUAAUUGAAGGCUAGAAUGAAUGGUUGAAUGAAAUAUUAACUGUUUCAAUUAAGUUUAUAAUAUAAUUUUAUUUUUUAGUGAAAAAGCUAAAAUUAAUUUAAAAGACGAGAAGACCCUAUAAAUCUUUAUAUUGUAAAAAUUUUAAUUAUUUAGAUUAUUUUAGUUAUAAUUAUUUAAAAUAUUUUAUUGGGGUGAUAUUGAAAUUUAUAAAACUUUUGAUUUUUAAAUUACAUUAAUUAAUGGUAUAAUGAUCCAUAAUUUAUGAUUAAAAAAUUAAGUUACUUUAGGGAUAACAGCGUAAUUUUUUUAGCGAGUUCAUAUUAAUAAAAA
rnacentral:rRNA from 1 species